AGCAGCUUGGGGUGGUCAGGGUGGAGUUUCAACUUGAUUGGCUUUGAGAUCUGCCCCAGAGAUUGGCGGAGCACAUUUCUAGGUGUGUCUGGCGAGUCAUGCAGGAAUGGCCUUGGGGUGCAUAUCUGGUCCCUCACCACUUCUACUCUGGCACUUUUCCCUCCCUCUGCUUCCUGGCCACCAUGAACUAAACAGCUUUGCUCUGCCAUGAUGCCUCUGGAUUGGAGCCAGCUGAUCACAGACUGAAGCCAUGAACAAAUUAAACGUUUUCUCCUUUAAGUUGUGAGCAUCUCAUAUUGUGUCCAACAAUGGGAAAGCUGACUAAUACAGGGAUCGAGCAGCAGGCGGCAAAACCACUGAGCUAAAUCCCUGGGCCAAGUCUCUGUUUUUCUUAAUCAUCUGCCUAGAUGUACUCAGAGGUCUACAAAACUCGCCCACCAAUCCAUUUGUUCAUUGAAUCUGAAAACGACUCUGUGAGUCUCAUUUUCCAGAUGAGGGAAGGUGAGGCUGAAACCAAGAUGACAGGGACUGGCGUGGAGGUACUCAGUGCUAGCUGUCCUGGGAAGAGCUUACUGCGUGCUGAGCCCUUGUCUGUAUGAAGUUGUUUCAACCUCGCAGUUCUGUUGAGGGUCGAGCCCAGGCUGGCCUUUCACUUGCAGUCCUCCUUUCUCAACUCCACAGUGCUGAGGCCAAGACACGCACCACCACGCCCAUCUCUUGAACAUCUCCGGGACAUUUAUACCCGUGCUGUGACAUUGGUACAUUCACACUGUUGAGCAACCCUCCCUCCCUAUCAUCCCGCUCCAGAAAAGUAGAAACUCUGUAUCCACUGGACAAUAAAUCACCUUUCUUCCUCCCAGCCCCAGCAAACCGGCAUUUUAUUUUCUGUCCCUAUGAAUUUGGCAACUCGAAGUGCUUCGUAAAAGUGACAUCAUAAUAUAUUUGUACUUUUGUGACUGGCUUAUUUCACUUGGCGAAAUG
rnacentral:lncRNA from 1 species